rnacentral:rRNA from 1 species
GAUGAACGCUGGCGGCGUGCCUAAUACAUGCAAGUCGAACGAAACUUCUUUAUCACCGAGUGCUUGCACUCACCGAUAAAGAGUUGAGUGGCGAACGGGUGAGUAACACGUGGGCAGCCUGCCCAAAAGAGGGGGAUAACACUUGGAAACAGGUGCUAAUACCGCAUAACCAUAGUUACCGCAUGGUAACUAUGUAAAAGGUGGCUAUACUACCGCUUUUGGAUGGGCCCGCGGCGCAUUAGCUAGUUGGUAGGGUAAAGGCUUACCAAGGCAAUGAUGCGUAGCCGAAUUGAGAGGUUGAUCGGCCACAUUGGGACUGAGACACGGCCCAAACUCCUACGGGAGGCAGCAGUAGGGAAUCUUCCACAAUGGGCGAAAGCCUGAUGGAGCAACGCCGCGUGGGUGAAGAAGGUCUUCGGAUCGUAAAACCCUGUUGUUAGAGAAGAAAGUGCGUGAGAGUAACUGUUCACGUUUCGACGGUAUCUAACCAGAAAGCCACGGCUAGCUACGUG